UAUGCGUAACUCUUUUCGUCCACAGAACACCAGAUUCAGCCAGCUUCGGCCACCUCUCUCAACUCAGAAACCUAUCUCUUUCCCUCCUAUUCAUAGUGCUGUCCCUCCCUGCCGUCCUAACCUACAGGUUUCCCCACCCAAAUCUGGCUCUAUUCCUUCCAAAACGUCCAGCCCCCGCUCUUUUUUUCUCGCUCCUGUUCCCCGUUAUUCCAAUUCCUUCAUUGCUCCUACUCCCCCUUCCAGCCAUUCAGAGACUUGAGAGUCUUAUCCUCCCCAACAUUUCCAGCCAACUCCAACCAGACCUCCGUGAUUCACAAAUCCUAUCCUGGAGAGAUGAUUUCCCUGUGAGUGGGACGGUUCUGCUAUCAUCCAGAAUUGCCAGAACAAUCGAUCCCCAGGAGCUUGACUUGGUGAAUGUUGGGAACUCAAGACAAUGCCAAUCAACAUUUAGCUUGGAGGCCGGCCUGAAUGAAUUCUACCUUUAUAACUGGUUUCUCCAUGGAAUUUGGUCUGUGGCCACAGAGCAAACAGCAAGACGAGGGACACAAGGUAGAGAAGAGUGAGUGGAAAUCAUGUCAUCUGAUCUCUACACGGCUUCUCUAGGAUGGACGUGUCAGAGCGCUUCCUGUUGCUUCUCCGUGUAACCACGUCCACAACAUCCAUUCUUCCAUCCGACCAACGUGUGCUGAGCCCCUGGGGGGUGCUGGCCCAGGCCCCGCGGACUUUGAACCCAGGUCGCCCUCCCUCCCCGGCGGCUUCCUUCUGAUGCCCACGAUCUCCUCUCUGGGUCAGCCCGGAACGUGAUGACCGCAGGCUGAACCAUGUCAGGGUGCACAGCGAUAUCGCGCUCCAUGAUGCUCAACUGUGGAGCUUGGGAGAAGAUGAUCGCCACACGGAGUGUUCAGCGCCCACCUCAGCCUCGUUCCUGAAACCCAGCCUGUGUACUGCUUGGAUAAAUAAAGAUGACUUUCAAGCGUCAGUCGGACCUUUCCUUUGUGGAGUCUCACAUUUUUCUGCCCGCAUGCACUGGUUCAGAUCCUUCAUCUUUGGGAACCCUGGGUGGCCCAGCGGUUUAGCACCUGCCUUUGGCCCACGGCGUGAUCCUGGGGACCCGGGAUCAAGCCCCACGUCGGGCUCCCUGCAUGGAGCCCGCUUCUCCCCCUGCCCGUGUCACUUUUUUUUUUUUAAAGAUUUAUUUAUUUAUUUAUGAUAGACAGAGAGAGAGAGAGAGGCAGAGACACAGGAGGAGGGAGAAGCAGGCUCCAUGCAGGGAGUCCGACGCGCGACUGGAUCCCGGGUCCCCAGGAUCACGCCCCGGGCUCCAGGGCUCCAGGCGGCGCUAAACCGGCUGCCCUUCCACCUACUUCUGAUGUUGGAAUCCUUUAAGGAGGGACCAACCCUUUUCUCCAAAAUUGGAUGUCCAAGUACAAGUUUCUCCGGAAAAGUGAUGCUAAUAAACCGAUUGAGAUUUAAAAGAAAUGACAAAUAUCACUGCUUCUGUGCUAAGAACAGCUUUUGUUAGUGGUGAAGGAGUCAAAACAAAAGGGAGAUUCAGAGGAGCAUUGGGCAUUUGAAUGGGAAGGGAUGAGGCAAAGGGAUAUACUUACACCCUAAGUCUAGCCUUGACAAUGUAUAUGACUUUUCCUGUAGCCAUAGGUAGGGGUGUGUGUGUGUGUGUGUGUGUGGUGAGGGGAUGCAUGAGAUGUUGUUUCUAUAAAGGACUAGUGACCUUCAGAUAGCUUAUUAUGCCGUGCUGCCUGCGGUUCUUGCCCUUCCCCAUCUGGCAGUUAAUCCGUGGGUCAGGGCAUCCAGUAAGAUGGAGACUGAGUGUCCCCAACACAGAUAAAUGGAAAUAGAGAAUAGAAGUGGUUCUAUAAAUCGUGAUGGUGGCUGACUGUAUUUACCAUGAACAGGGAAGUCUCCUUAUUUCAGCACACAGAUUCUGCAUCUUUAUGCUCCACCGUCACAGGGCCAUGGCUAUAUUUAACAACAAAGGCAAAGCGACUGAAAUUUUGUGACAUAAAUAGGAUUUUCAUUUUCCAUACAGAUCAUGGUGAAACGCAAAUACGAAAAGACUUUUUCCAAAAGAUAAUUUAGGAAAUGUCCACCUGCGUAUGAAGGAUAUUUAUAGUCAUGGCCAACCCAAAAUCCCACUUGGACCACAAUUAACUUAGCAUAUAUUUCUCAAGUGCUUACCAGGUUUUUUACAGUGUAUUACAUCUUUGGGAUUUUAGGCAGCAUGGCUUGUUUUCUUGCUCAGGAAAAGGUCUUGUAGGAGUGACUUAGAAGUGACAAUAUAAAGUUAUAUAUAAAAAGUGGAGAGAAUCCAGUAAAAUAUAUGAUGAAAGCAUAUUCAUCAUAUAUUCAUCAUCAUAUAUUCAUCAAAAUAUAUGAUGAAAGCAUAUUAUUGAGAAGGAAAAAAAUCAAUAUGGGCUUGUGAUAAUAUGAAAGACAGUGAAAAUGGGAAGAUUUUGAGGUGGACCUUGAGUAAUAGGUAAUAUGUAAAUAAAAGACUCGUAUACGUACAGUUCUCAUACAUCCUGGAUUUUCCCAGGGCUGCCUCAAUCAGUUAUUACAAUAAUAACUGCAUUUAUUAAGUGACUACUAUAUACUAAGUACUUUGCAUAUGUUACCUAGAAUCCUCCCAACUAUACAUUUCCUAAAAUUCUCCCUAUUUUUCAAACAAACAAAUAGGACAGAUAGAGCUUGCCAAAGGUCACGUGGGUACAAGGAGCUGGAAUUUCCAGUACACCACACCCUUCUAUGGUCUGUCAUCCAAAGUGCACUUCACAGAAGACAUACCCUGCUGUUUGGUUCAGACUAUAUGGUCUCUGCUGUGUAGUGGAUUGUCAGCUUUUCUUCAAAGUUGCCCAUUGCCAUCUGUUAUUGGCAAAAACCAUUCAUGUGUUGCAAGCUUAUCAUGAGAUCUGGAACUUGAGUCACUUCAUCUUUCAGGACACCAUUUGAACUCUAGAUAAUGACUGUCAUGAGAAUUGCUAAAGCCCAGGCAUUUGGUCAGUCCUGGGCAGAGGACAGGAUUGUCAAAGUUUUGCACCUGGUGCUUGGCCUCUCUUGGCUCUGGCUUACCCUCAUAUUUAACCCCUCCCUAUGUUCUAUUCUUCUGGCUCCGACUCUUGGCUCUCAGCUGAUCACUUGCCCUACAUCCAGGCACAUACAGUUUAGAUGGGAAUGUGGAAGGAGAGUUCCUUAGAAUGUUUUCUUUCUGGGGUUGGUGUGGUUGACGUGCUCAUGAUAAAAUGGUAGGAUGAAUAACAGAUGCCAAGGCACUGCUCUAGGCUUCCUGCUGAGCAGGGGGAUGCCGUGUGCCUUCCCGAGCUGGACAGGUGUGCCUCCUGGGUGUCCCUUCCAUGAUUUUCUUUGUAGUGCAGCCUGGGAGAGGGGAGGGACUUCUGUGCAUUGCUGUCACUACUGCGGCGAUUGUCGCCAGCCUCUCCCUCAAGGGUUGAGCCAGUGGGAAUUCUGGGGAACUUUCCCUGGAUCCUGGAAGAGAUGAGGUGGGAGGAGUGAGGACUCAGGAGGGGAGGAGGCAGGAAGAACCUGAGCCCAGAAGAGCAGGUGGCAGCACUGCAGUGGGAGGAGGUAAGUGGUAUUCUUAUACGUGCUGGGUUAUUCUAGAGUAUUCUCAGACACUCUAAAAAGGAUCAACAACCCCAAGGGCUGUCUGUGUGAGCAUUCAUCUGCCUUCAAAAUAACAGCUUUACCUCCAGCAUCUGGGCUUCUGGCAGUCGGACAAUGCCUUGCUUGGUGAAAUCCUGUCUCCUGUGCUUCCCUGAAGGCAUCAUAAACUCCCCUAUCCAUUCUCUCCUCUCAUCAGGGUUGUAGAGUGAUUUUAAGAUUAGAAUGACAGUGGAUGGCAAUUUCUAUCACAUUGGCCAACAUAUCAGAUAAAAGAAAAUCAGCUUUGUCCUUUACCAUAUGUGAAAAAUGCCUACCAACUGCUGAAUAAAUCCAAGCUUCUGAGGGAUAAUAACUUACACACUGAAUAUACUUAACGCUUGCAUCUGGACUUCCCAUCCCCUGGGUGUAACAAUAGUACUGAGUAAAGGUGUGAAUAAAUGAAUGGAAAUUUACCAGCCAGUCUUUUCUACCUUUUUUUUUUAAAAGGUUUUAUUUAUUUAUUCAUGAGAGACACAGAGAGGCUGGCAUACGCAGAGGGAGAAGCAGGCUUUCUGAGGGGAGCCUGAUGCGGGACUUGAUCCUGGGACUCCGAGAUCACACCCUGAGCUGAAGGCAGAGCUCAACCACUGAGUCAACCAGGUGUCCCCUACCCUUUUUUUUUUUUAACAGCAAAUGAUCUAAACCUGUCCCGAUGACUAGUUGCUUAUCAGCUCCCAGAUCCAAAACAAAAGCUAGAAACAAUAAUACUUGAUAAAAAUUCCCCCCAAAAGUCUGCUAGGUGUUAGACACUCCCCAUUGAUGAUAUUUUCAUUAUUAUCAGUGAUACUUGGCAAUUUCAGCAACAAUGGGAUAAGACUUGAGCUUGAUGUUGGUUUUAGGAAUGUUAGGUGUUUUGAGUACUUGAUAAACUUAUUCAGAAUCAAAAGUUUUCAAAAAAAAAAAAAUCCAAAGCUGGGUACAGCUGAGCUUUAGAAUAUCUCUGUGCUCUAAAUUUUGUCUUCUUUAGUAAUUUAUAGUCUGGACAUCUCUGCUGGUACUUUUGCACUCAGUAAAGAUGAACUGAGUGUGGCCACUGUAGCCAGUGGUCAUCU
rnacentral:lncRNA from 1 species